rnacentral:tRNA from 1 species
GGCCCCGUCGUCUAGCGGCCCAGGACGCCGCCCUCUCAAGGCGGUAGCGCCGGUUCAAAUCCGGUCGGGGCUACCA